GAGGAAUAUUGGACAAUGGAUGGAAAUCUGAUCCAGCCAUGCCGCGUGCAGGAAGACGGUCCUAUGGAUUGUAAACUGCUUUUAUAUGGGAGCAAUAAGGUCUUUGCGAAGACUGAUGAGAGUACCAUAUGAAUAAGCAUCGGCUAACUCCGUGCCAGCAGCCGCGGUAAUACGGAGGAUGCGAGCGUUAUCCGGAUUUAUUGGGUUUAAAGGGUGCGUAGGCGGUCUGAUAAGUCAGUGGUGAAAGUUUUCAGCUUAACUGGAAAAAUGCCGUUGAUACUGUCAGGCUAGAAUAUGGCUGCUGUGAGUGGAAUGUGUGGUGUAGCGGUGAAAUGCUUAGAUAUCACACAGAAUAUCGAUUGCGAAGGCAGCUCACAAAGCCAUUAUUGACGCUGAGGCACGAAAGUGUGGGGAUCAAAC
rnacentral:rRNA from 1 species